AUACUCGGUAUUUGGUCGUGGCAGAAAGAGAGACGAAUUUGAACCUCGUAAAUUAUAACUGUGGAUAUGGUUAGAAUUCUGGAACAUUGAUGAGAACCUCGAUGGUGCCAAAUUAUUGACAACCUUAAACAUGAGACGGGCCAUAAUAUGUUUUCGCCUUUCUUCCAAGCUUAUCCACCCUAAUUGAUCGAGGGCCAGUUGA